CUGUCUCCAGUGUUUUUGCUCUAGGGGUUGGUGAUGACGUUAGAACUUACUUGUGUGAAGUGCCUUGAGGCAGCAUAGUUGUGAUUUUGUGCUACAUAAAAUUAA